AGACUCCCAAAUCCCCAUGGUUGCCGUUUCCAUUAUUGUUGGAUGCCAUCUCAAAAGAAGUUGCUGCCGAGGAUAUGAACACAAUCAAUGCUAAUUAUGAACUUUUCAGGACCAAGAGGAUCUCUCGAGAUGACUUCAUCAAGAGGUUGAGAUCAAUAGCUGGUGAUGAAUUGCUGAGGUCCAUCAUAAGGAGUCUUGAGGGCAAGCUGACUCUUGGAUCUCGUCACAAUUCAAAGGUGCCUAAGCCGGAGCAAGAGGUUUGAAUCUUCUUAUUUAAUUAUGCAAUGCUGUUGUCCUUAGUGUCGUGGGGAUUGUGACUGCAUUGAUAUGUUGGUUUCUUUUUCCUGGGUGUUUGAAAGUAUCUCUUUUUGGAUCCUUAUGUAUAUAUUCGUAAUUCUAUGGAAUUCUUGCUGGUUGCUGCUCAGCCUAGCAAAGAACUACACUGUUGUUAGUAAUUUUUCAUGUUGGAAAAGAAACAAUCGGCAUAUUAUUUACCUGAUA